GGCNGCUGCUUUACACAUGCAAGUCGAACGGCAGCAUGACCUAGCUUGCUAGGUUGAUGGCGAGUGGCGAACGGGUGAGUAAUGCACCGGAACGUACCCAGUAAUGGGGGAUAACGCACCGAAAGGUGUGCUAAUACCGCAUACGCCCUGAGGGGGAAAGCGGGGGAUCGUAAGACCUCGCGUUAUUGGAGCGGCCGAUGCCGGAUUAGCUAGUUGGUGGGGUAAAGGCCUACCAAGGCGACGAUCCGUAGCUGGUCUGAGAGGACGACCAGCCACACUGGGACUGAGACACGGCCCAGACUCCUACGGGAGGCAGCAGUGGGGAAUUUUGGACAAUGGGCGCAAGCCUGAUCCAGCCAUGCCGCGUGAGUGAAGAAGGCCUUCGGGUUGUAAAGCUCUUUCGCAAGGAAAGAAAACUUAGCUACUAAUACUAGCUGAGGAUGACGGUACCUUGAUAAGAAGCACCGGCUAACUACGUGCCAGCAGCCGCGGUAAUACGUAGGGUGCGAGCGUUAAUCGGAAUUACUGGGC
rnacentral:rRNA from 1 species